GCAAGUCGAGCGAGAAACCUUCUUCGGAAGGCAGGCAGCGGCGCACGGGUGAGUAACGCGUACACAAUCUACCUUUCAGUGUGGAAUAGCCCCGGGAAACUGGGAUUAAUACCGCAUAGUCUUUAAGAUCGGCAUCGAUUUUAAAUUAAAGCUCCGGCGCUGAAAGAUGAGUGUGCGUUCUAUUAGGUAGUUGGUAAGGUAACGGCUUACCAAGCCGAUGAUAGGUAGGGGGCGUGAGAGCGUGAGC
rnacentral:rRNA from 1 species